CCUACGGGUGGCUGCAGUAAGGAAUAUUGGUCAAUGGACGAAAGUCUGAACCAGCCAUGCCGCGUGGAGGAUGAAGGUCCUCUGGAUUGUAAACUUCUUUUAUAUGGGACGAAAAAAGGCCUUUCCAGGUCGUCUGACGGUACCAUAUGAAUAAGCACCGGAUAACUCCGUGCCAGCAGCCGCGGUACUACGGAGGGUGCAAGCGUUAUCCGGCUUAACUGGGUUGAAGGUGUGCGUGUAAGUGUUGGGUGAAAUCCCCGAGCUUAACUUGGGAACUGCCAUUGAUACUAUCAGUCUUGAAUACCGUGGAGGUCAGCGGAAUAUGUCAUGUAGCGGUGAAAUGCUUAGAUAUGACAUAGAACACCAAUUGCGAAGGCAGCUGGCUACACGAGUAUUGACACUGAGGCACGAAAGCGUGGGGAUCAAACAGGAUUAGAUACCCGUGUAGUC
rnacentral:rRNA from 1 species